UCUGCUACUUCUGCGAUUUCUGUGACUUCUGCUACUUCUGCGAUUUCUGCUACUUCUGCUACUUCUGCGAUUUCUGUGACUUCUGCUACUUCUGCGAUUUCUGUGAUUCCUGCGAUUUCUGCGACUUACCACCAUAUGAGAAAGUUACAUCUGUCAACACAGAAAAUUGCAUCUCAACAAACCUGUCUUUGGCAAGUACCUGAACUACAUUUCAGUCACUCAGUAAAGUGAUAACUCAAAAUAUCAUUGUCAACAGAUCUGAAGAAAUUGCCACUGCGUCUUUAGACAGUUUUCGUCAGACGAGAGACACAGUUCUGACUCUGAUUACUGGUUGCUGUACGUAUCUAUCCACAUCAAGGCUGUUUUUGAGAGAGACUCGUGAAGAUUCAAGACAGUUCUUAGAGGAUUUGCAGUUUAAAAGUGAAAUAAUUGUGAAAUAAGUGUGUGAAUGAUUACACUGUGUUUUAUUGAAGUUGUUGUGCGAUU